GAUGUGUCAAACAGAAGAUAUUGUGUUUUUAGAUAAGUUAAAAAAAGUUAACUUAAACUUUUAAAAAUGUGCUUUCAAGUCAAUUACAGGUCAUAAAAUCAUUAAAGAUACUUAAAGAACUUAAUAUCCUUUAAGUGUCUUUAGUUUGUAUUGGUGUUACACUAGCUUAGCUACAGUUAAAGAUUCAGGACAGGUUGAAACUGAGUAACCUAAAACACAUCUUUACAGCCACAGAUCACUAAAAUUACAGUUUUCUUAAAAAAAUCUUCAUCUUUACAAAUCAAGUAAUAGAACUAGUACAAUGUCAGUAAAUCAGCAGAUUUUACAGCUUAUGUGAACUUUGUACAAUUUUGGAGAAGUGCCCACAUAAAAAUAAAUAAAUAAAUACGAUAAAAUAACAAUAAAUAAAUAUAAAUACAUAAAUAACAUCACAUUGUUGAUCACCUAAGACAUCGAUAAUAUCAAAUUUUGUAGGUUUAACAUAUUUUACCCACUUAUCCUAUAGCUGAUCAAACACAGAAACAUGCAUUUUAACAUGCAGAUAUAAGGAGCAUGAUCUAACUCUGUUUCAUUUUUUUAGGGUUUGCAAGGUCCUCCUGGAGAGAAGGGACCCCGGGGACCACAGGGUCGUCCAGGAGAUGACGGGCCCAAUGGGAUACAGGGUCCACAAGGUCCUCCAGGUCUACCAGGUCCUGAUGGGGCAAUUGGAAAACCAGGACCAAUGGGAAGCAAAGGGCCUCCAGGACCUCAGGGACCACAGGGACAAGCAGGAAUCCCAGGUCCGCAGGGUGCUGAUGGAUUAUCAGGGGACUCGGGGGAAAGAGGACCUAAGGGUUUACCUGGAUUACCUGGAGAAGCAGGCCCCAUGGGACGACAAGGACAGCAGGGUCCUCCUGGCCACACAGGAAUCGAGGGCCCACCUGGAAGGAAAGGAGACCAGGGGGAUUUAGGACCUUGUGGGAAACCUGGUCCUAAAGGGCCACCAGGAGAGAGGGGACCUCAGGGGGGGAAAGGACUACAAGGACCACCUGGACCAGUCGGUAAAGAGGUAAGUACAAUUAUCUUUUGUUUACUUAAAUUAUUUCAGGUGUUGACAAACAUGUCCAGCUGCUGUCUCUUAAAUAACAGAGUUGUUGUACCGGAGGUGAUUCUUUUUUUUCCAGAACCUUAUUUCCUUUAAUGAAUCAUACAAGCAUCCUGUCCAGAGUUUGUUGUUGUGGCCAACAGAUGUGCUUUUAUUUAUUGGUAGAAUUAAAUUAC
rnacentral:lncRNA from 1 species